rnacentral:rRNA from 1 species
AAAACAUCGCCUCCUGCAACACAACCAAGUAUAGGAGGUCCAGCCUGCCCAGUGACUACAAGUUCAACGGCCGCGGUAUUUUGACCGUGCAAAGGUAGCGCAAUCACUUGUCUCUUAAAUGGAGACCUGUAUGAAUGGCUAAACGAGGGCUUAACUGUCUCCCCCCUCCAGUCAGUGAAAUUGAUCUACCCGUGCAGAAGCGGGUGUAAUAAUACAAGACGAGAAGACCCUUUGGAGCUUAAGGUACAAAAAUCAACCACGUCAAGCAACUUAGUAAAGAGCAGAAACUUUGUGGGUAGUGAUUUUUUACCUUCGGUUGGGGCGACCACGGAGGAAAAAAGAGCCUCCAGGUGGACUGGGAGAGCAUCCUAAAGCUAAGAGAGACAUCUCUAAGCCGCAGAACAUCUGACCAAUCAUGAUCCGGCUAACAAAGCCGAUCAACGAACCAAGUUACCCUAGGGAUAACAGCGCAAUCCUCUCCCAGAGUCCAUAUCGACGAGGGGGUUUACGACCUCGAUGUUGGAUCAGGACAUCCUAAUGGUGCAGCCGCUAUUAAGGGUUCGUUUGUUCAACGAUUAAAGUCCUACGUGA